rnacentral:rRNA from 1 species
GCAAGUCAGGGGCAGCACAAGGAGCAAUCUGAGGUGGCGACCGGCGCACGGGUGAGUAACACGUAUGCAACCUGCCUGUAAGCGGGGAAUAACCCGUUGAAAGACGGACUAAUACCGCAUAAUACUAAAUUACUGCAUGGUAAUUUAUUUAAACAUUUAUGGCUUACAGAUGGGCAUGCGCAUGAUUAGCUAGUUGGAGAGGUAACGGCUCCCCAAGGCAACGAUCAUUAGGGGUUCUGAGAGGAAGGUCCCCCACACUGGUACUGAGACACGGACCAGACUCCUACGGGAGGCAGCAGUGAGGAAUAUUGGUCAAUGGACGAGAGUCUGAACCAGCCAAGUCGCGUGCAGGAAGAAUGUCCUUAAUGGAUUGUAAACUGCUUUUGCAGGGGAAUAAAGUGCAUCACGUGUGAUGUUUUGUAUGUACUCUGCGAAUAAGGAUCGGCUAACUCCGUGCCAGCAGCCGC